rnacentral:rRNA from 1 species
AUGAACAGCGCUGAAGCCACAGGCGCUCCAAUGGCGGCGACGGUGGUGGUCAACAUCGUGGUCGGGCCGCUGGUCAAGAUCGUGCUGGAGAAGGCGUCCAGCUACCUCCUCGACAAGUACAAGGUGAUGAAGGGCAUGGAGGAGCAGCAUGAGAUCCUCAAGCGCAGGCUGCCCGCCAUCCUCGACGUCAUCGCCGAUGCUGAGCAGGCGGCGGCCCACAGGGAAGGGGCGGCGGCCUGGCUCCAGGCCAUCAAGAAGGUGACUUACCAGGCGAAUGAGGUCUUCGACGAGUUCAAGUACGAGGCGCUUCGUCGCAAGGCUAAAAAGGAGGGACACUACAAGGAGCUUGGCUUCAGUGUGGUAAAGCUCUUUCCCACCCACAACCGCUUCAUAUUCCGUAACAGGAUGGGAAGAAAGCUCCGCAAAAUCGUGCGGACCAUUGAGGUCCUUGUGGCUGAAAUGAAGGAUUUCCGUUUUGAGCAUCAGCAACCACUGCAGGCAUACAGCCAGUGGCGACAGAAGGAUCAUGAUAUCUUUGAUCCAGAGAAAAUCACCAGCAGAUCGAGAGCAAAAGAUAAGGAGAAGCUUGUUGAUAUACUGGUUGGUCAAGCUAACAAUGCAGAUCUCACUGUUGUUCCCAUCGUUGGAAUGGGUGGUCUGGGAAAGACCACGCUAGCUCAACUUGUCUACAAUGACACUGAAAUUCAGAAGCAUUUCAAUUUGCUGCUAUGGGUGUGUGUCUCUGACAACUUUGAUGUGGAUUCUCUGGCUAAAAGUAUAGUUGAAGCAGCACUCGAGAAAGAUGGUACAGAAGCAGCUACUUCCAUGAGGACGAAAACACCGCUGGAUGGCCUUCAGAAUGUAUUGAGCGGGCAAAGGUACCUCCUUGUAUUGGAUGAUGUCUGGACACGAGAGGUUCAUAAAUGGGAGCAGCUCAAGGCCUGCCUUGAACGUGGUGGCAUGGGGAGUGUGGUCCUGACAACAACUCGUGAUAAAGGAGUUGCGGAAAUAGUGGGUACUGUUGAAGCUUAUAAUCUCGGAGCUUUGGAUGGACAAUACAUAAAGGAAAUUAUCGAGACAAUGUCGUUCAGUUGUUUGAAGAAGGGAGAAGAAAGGCCAGCCGUGUUGAUGAAUAUGGUUGAUGAGAUUGUGGAGCGAUGUGCUGGCUCUCCUUUAGCUGCAAUGGCUCUGGGCUCUGUACUGCGUAACAAGACCAGUGAAGAAGAAUGGAAAGAUGUAUCAAGCAGAAGCAACAUUUGCACCGUGGAGUCUGGAAUCUUACCGAUACUCAAGCUCAGUUACAAUGACUUGCCGCCACAAAUGAAGCAAUGCUUUGCAUUUUGUGCUAUAUUUCCCAAAGAUUACGAGAUUAAUGUGGACAAGCUGAUCCAACUAUGGAUUGCACAUGGCUUUAUUAUCCAAGAAAAGCAAGUUCGUCUUGAAAACAUUGGCAAGCAGAUUUUCAAUGAACUAGUCUCAAGGUCAUUCUUUCAGGAUGUGAAACAAGUCCAGACCACAAUCGGUGAAAUUGAACAGGACGGGGCGUGUUAUGUCAGAACUACAUGUAAAAUCCAUGAUCUUAUGCAUGAUGUUGCACUGUCUGUAAUGGAGAAGGAAUGUGCCUUGGCAACUGAGGACCCAGGCAAGAUUGGAUAUGUUGUCUCAACUGAGGAACCAAGUCAGAGUGAGUGGCUUCCAGACACGGCUCGGCAUUUAUUUUUGUCAUGCAGGGAACCAGGAAGAAAAUUGAAUAGUUCUCUCAAGAACAGUUCUCCAGCCAUCCAAACACUUCUGUGUGAUAGCUUUAUGAGCAGAUCAUUGCAUCAUUUGGCAAAAUACAGCUCCUUGCAAGCAUUACAGCUCCGUUUAUUGGGAUCAUUUCCGCUGAAACCAAAACAUCUGCAUCACCUGAGGUACCUAGAUCUCUCAAGAAGUUUAAUAAAAACACUUCCUGAAGAUAUGAGCAUUCUAUACAACCUGCAAACGUUGAACCUCUCUGGCUGUGUAUCUCUUUGUGAACUUCCAAGGCAAAUGAAGUAUAUGGCUGCCCUCCGCCACCUUUACACUCAUGGUUGUCCAGAGCUGAAAGGCAUGCCUAGAGACCUAGGAAAACUCACAUCCCUACAGACACUUACAUGUUUUGUAGCAGGUAGUGGCUCUAAUUGCAGCAAUGUUGGAGAGCUUGGGAAUUUAAACCUCGGUGGUCAACUAGAGUUGCAUCAUCUAGAGAACGUGACUGAAGAAGCUGCAAAAGCUGCAAACCUCGUGAUGAAGAAGGAAGUAACAGAACUGACAUUAAAAUGGACUGUUGGGUCGGAUGACGUUGUUGAUGAAUCUAGCAGUCGGGAUGAUGCAAAAGUGCUCGAGGAACUUAAACCUCAUGAUGGGCUGCAUGCUAUAAGGAUACACACCUAUGGAGGCACCACCUUUCCAACAUGGACAGCUAUGUUGCAAAACAUUGUUGUGAUCCAUAUUUCUCAUUGUAACAAACUGCAAUGGUUCUUUAGUGGUGACAUUAACACAUCCUUUGCAUUUCCAAAUCUGAAGGAGCUUACAUUGCAGGAGCUUGUCUGCUUUGAGAGAUGGUGGGAAAUAGAUAAUGGAACGCAAGGAGAAGUGGUGAUGUUUCCUCUGCUUGAGAAGUUGUGCAUUAGUCAGUGUGAAAAGUUGACAACAUUGCCAGGGCAACCGACCUUCCCAAAUCUCCAGAUCACUCGUAUUGAGAGAUGUCCAGAGUUGACAACUAGAGUUGAAUCACCAAAGCUCAGUGUAUUAAAGAUGGAAGGACGUGAUGUACAGUUGUUUCAGUGGGUAGCCAGGCAUAUGACUUCAUUGACCAAUGUUGAACUGCAUAGCCUUGUGGACAGUACAGAAACAACCUCGGCGGCGGCUGAGCAUGGUUUGAGGGAAGUUCUGGAUGGCAGGGAAAAAAGGAAUGAUCAUGAUUUUCCUCUGACAGUUUUGGUGCUACAAAACUUUAAGCCAGGUAUAACAGAGCUGUGUUCAUGUUUCGUACACCUGCAAGAUUUGUCAGUUUGGAGGUGCCAUGCGCUCAUCCACUGGCCAGAAAAAGAGUUUGAAGGACUGGUAUCCUUGAGGAAGCUUGUGAUUCAUCAAUGUGAGAAUCUGACUGGAUAUGCACAAGCUUCUACCGAGCCAUCAACAUCAUCAGAAAAGAGUCAGCUCCUUCCACAUCUAGAGUUACUAGUGAUAAGGAAAUGUGAAAGUUUGGUUGAGGUCUUCAAUGUCCCUGCAUCUCUCAGGGUAAUGGAAAUUCUUUAUUGCAAGAAGCUUGAGUCUAUAUCCGGCAGGAGGCUGCUGCAGGGACAGUCAGCAUCGUCGAUUCAUCAAGGGCCAUCUAGUAUAACAGAGGUGUCAUCAUCAUCAUCAUCACCAUCAUCAUCUGGACGUUGGGCAGAGAAUUUGGAAAAAUUGAAAUUAGUCGAGUGUCAUGGCUUAACAGGGGUCCUCCAUCUUCCCUCGUCCCUGAAGGCUCUAGACAUUGAUAGUUGCAGUGGGUUGACAUCUCUUGAAUCUAGCUCAGGAGAGCUUCCAUUAUUGGAGUGCCUCUAUCUUUGGAGUUGCAAUAACCUGUUAUCCCUACCGGAUUGGCCACAAGCAUACUCAUAUCUCCAAUGUCUCUACAUUAUGAACUGCACUGUUAUAAAGACGCUCCCUAGAAGCCUGCAGCAACGGCUGGGCACCAUCCAGGAGGAACAUGUAGAUGCUCAUUAUUAUGGAAAUAAGCCAAGGCCUAUCCCUAUCCUGCUCAAACCAAAGACAUGGAAAUGCGCCAUCCGUAGAGAUUAG